ACUCAAAUGAAGUAAGUUCAAGUCCCAUCCAAGACAAGGCUGCAAUCUCUUCUGCCUAUGAGUCCCUGAAUGUAAAAGAAAAUUCUUUUCUUUCAAGUUAUAGUGAUGGCACAGGCACUGGGUAAGCUUUCUCAACCCAAAGGGAAGAUUUUCCCAGAAAAAUAACACAAAUGGGACACAGGCCCAAUCCGAGUCCAAAACCCAGCAGGACAGCAUUCAUUUAUCAUGAGAACUCACUAUCACACAGACUGCAUUAAGGAGAUAGUAUUUAACCAUUUGUGAAGGUUCUGCCACCCAUCCCCAUGUUUCAGCCUCACCCACACCAUGAACCCCCAUCCUCCCACAUCCACCUUCCAAUCCCCUUUCUCUACCAUGAUUAAAUCACCAUCUACCAAGCCCCAUAUUUAACAUUCCCCAUUACAAUUCCACAUGAGUUUUGGAAGGGACACAGAGCCAAAUCAUAUUAUUCUCCCCUUGGUCCCCAACCUCAUGUCCUUCUUAUACUGUAAAAUAUAAUGAUGUGUUCUCUACGGUCCCACAAUAUCUGAACUCAUUCCAGCAUUUACUCAAAUGUCCGUUUGUGAAGGAUCCACCCCCCACCCCUGCCUUUCAGCCACAAAUGCACCACAAUCCCCCAUCACUCCCUACCCACCUAUAGCCCCAAACCUCCACACCACCCCCAGCAUCCACCCUCCAUGCUCCACCAUGAUUAAAUCACCUUCCACCAGCCCCCACCUUUAACAUUUCCCAUUAAAAUUCCACGAGUUUUGGUAGAGACACAGAGCCAAAACAUAUUAUUCUGUCCCUUUUUUCCAAACUUUUAAG
rnacentral:lncRNA from 1 species